GAACUGGCAGCAGCUGAAAUAGCCUGCCCUUCGGUGGGUCCCCGCUCAGAUCUCAAGCUGGUUUUAGCUCAUCUUGUGCCAUUACAGAGAGAACAUCUCUGAAACAUAUCAGACUGGUCCCACCCAUACGGGCAGUCCAGAUCCGAAAUGCCAGCAAGUUCCCUCUGCACAAGAGACAUAGCAACCCCAGACGAUCGUUUCAGCCUUGUUAGGCA